rnacentral:rRNA from 1 species
GACGAACGCUGGCGGCGUGCUUAACACAUGCAAGUCGAACGGAAAGGCCCCUUUCGGGGGGUACUCGAGUGGCGAACGGGUGAGUAACACGUGAGUAACCUGCCCUUGACUUUGGGAUAACUUCAGGAAACUGGGGCUAAUACCGGAUAGGAGCUCCUGCUGCAUGGUGGGGGUUGGAAAGUUUCGGCGGUUGGGGAUGGACUCGCGGCUUAUCAGCUUGUUGGUGGGGUAGUGGCUUACCAAGGCUUUGACGGGUAGCCGGCCUGAGAGGGUGACCGGCCACAUUGGGACUGAGAUACGGCCCAGACUCCUACGGGAGGCAGCAGUGGGGAAGAUUGCACAAUGGGUGGAAGCCUGAUGCAGCAACGCCGUGUGCGGGAUGACGGCCUUCGGGUUGUAAACCGCUUUCGCUCAUGACGAAGCUUUGUGUGACGGUAGUGGGUAAAGAAGCACCGGCUAACUACGUG